rnacentral:rRNA from 1 species
UACGUAGGUGGCAAGCGUUGUUCGGAAUUAUUGGGCGUAAAGGGCGCGUAGGCGGUUCGUUAAGUCAGUUGUGAAAGCCCGGAGCUCAACUCCGGAGAGUCGACUGAUACUGGCGGGCUAGAGUACGGAAGAGGUAGCUGGAAUUCCCGGUGUAGUGGUGAUAUGCGUAGAUAUCGGGAGGAACACCUGUGGCGAAGGCGGCUUUCUGGGCCUUACCUGACGCUGAGACGCGAAAGCGUGGGGAGCGAACCGG